UACGUAGGGGGGCAAGCGUUGUCCGGAAUUAUUGGGCGUAAAGCGCGCGCAGGCGGCUACUUAAGUUUGGUGUGAUAAGCCCGGGGCUCCAACCCCGGUCCGCACCGAAAACUGGGUGGCUUGAGUGCGGGAGAGGAAAGUGGAAUUCCACGUGUAGCGGUGAAAUGCGUAGAGAUGUGGAGGAACACCAGUGGCGGAAGGCGA
rnacentral:rRNA from 1 species